rnacentral:rRNA from 1 species
AGAGUUUGAUCCUGGCUCAGAACGAACGCUGGCGGCGUGGAUAAGACAUGCAAGUCGAACGAGACUUUUCGUUGUAGCAAUACGAUGGAAAGUUUAGUGGCGAACGGGUGCUUAACACGUGGGCAACCUGCCAUGAAGUGGGGGAUAGCUCGCCGAAAGGCGAAUUAAUACCGCAUGUGAUUAGAGAGGACAUCCUUUCGAAAUUAAAGUCGGGGCAACCUGACGCUUCUUGUGGGGCCCGCGGCCUAUCAGCUAGUUGGUGAGGUAACGGCUCACCAAGGCUUUGACGGGUAGCUGGUCUGAGAGGACGACCAGCCACACUGGGACUGAGACACGGCCCAGACACCUACGGGUGGCAGCAGUCGAGAAUUUUUGACAAUGGGGGAAACCCUGAUCGAGCGACGCCGCGUGGAGGAUGAAGGUCUUCGGAUUGUAAACUCCUGUCAUUGGGGAACAAGGUGCAUAUGUUAACUGCGUGUGUAUUGAUAGUACCCGAAGAGGAAGAGACGGCUAACUCUGUGCCAGCCGCCGCGGUAAUAC